rnacentral:rRNA from 1 species
CCUACGGGGGGCUGCAGUGGGGAAUAUUGGACAAUGGGGGGAACCCUGAUCCAGCCAUGCCGCGUGUGUGAAGAAGGCCCUCGGGUUGUAAAGCACUUUCAGUGAGGAAGAACGCCUGGUGGUUAAUACCCAUCAGGAAAGACAUCACUCACAGAAGAAGCACCGGCUAACUCCGUGCCAGCAGCCGCGGUAAUACGGAGGGUGCGAGCGUUAAUCGGAAUUACUGGGCGUAAAGCGCGCGUAGGUGGCUUGAUAAGCCGGUUGUGAAAGCCCCGGGCUCAACCUGGGAACGGCAUCCGGAACUGUCAAGCUAGAGUGCAGGAGAGGAAGGUAGAAUUCCCGGUGUAGCGGUGAAAUGCGUUGAGAUCGGGAGGAAUACCAGUGGCGAAGGCGGCCUUCUGGACUGACACUGACACUGAGGUGCGAAAGCGUGGGUAGCAAACAGGAUUAGAUACCCGAGUAGUC